rnacentral:rRNA from 1 species
GAUCGCAGUCUGCAACCCGACUGCGUGAAGUCGGAAUCGCUAGUAAUCGCGGAUCAGCAUGCCGCGGUGAAUACGUUCCCGGGCCUUGUACACACCGCCCGUCACACCAUGAGAGUCGGGAACACCCGAAGUCCGUAGCCUAACCGCGAAGGGGGGCGCGGCCGAAGGUGGGUUCGAUAAUUGGGGUGAAGUCGUAACAAGGUAGC